AAAACAAAGCGAUAGAUAUAAUGAUUGUUCUAUUUGAAGCAAUCGAUCUGUAUACGAUCAUGUAGUUAUAAUCAAAUUCCAACAAACUUAAUACUAACAAAUAGUCAAUUUUUUCAUUUUCUUUUCAUUGCUUCCUGCACACAAUCUAUUCUACCGGGAUUGGUUGGCUUGAAGCAUGGCUGCUUCGCCCUCGCUGUACACGGGAGAAUCACCAACCUUGGACGUCCCGGCUGGUCUCCAUCCUCCAGUUACGGGGUGAGGCGCGAGGAGCCGACGACCUCCGCCUGCAUUACCAUGGCGCGGCUACGCCGACAGCGCUCGGNN
rnacentral:lncRNA from 1 species